rnacentral:rRNA from 2 species
UGGUAUUGAUUGGUGCUUGCAUCAUGAUUUACAUUUGAGUGAGUGGCGAACUGGUGAGUAACACGUGGGAAACCUGCCCAGAAGCGGGGGAUAACACCUGGAAACAGAUGCUAAUACCGCAUAACAACUUGGACCGCAUGGUCCGAGUUUGAAAGAUGGCUUCGGCUAUCACUUUUGGAUGGUCCCGCGGCGUAUUAGCUAGAUGGUGGGGUAACGGCUCACCAUGGCAAUGAUACGUAGCCGACCUGAGAGGGUAAUCGGCCACAUUGGGACUGAGACACGGCCCAAACUCCUACGGGAGGCAGCAGUAGGGAAUCUUCCACAAUGGACGAAAGUCUGAUGGAGCAACGCCGCGUGAGUGAAGAAGGGUUUCGGCUCGUAAAACUCUGUUGUUAAAGAAGAACAUAUCUGAGAGUAACUGUUCAGGUAUUGACGGUAUUUAACCAGAAAGCCACGGCUAACUACGUGCCAGCAGCCGCGGUAAUACGUAGGUGGCAAGCGUUGUCCGGAUUUAUUGGGCGUAAAGCGAGCGCAGGCGGUUUUUUAAAGUCUGAUGUGAAAGCCUUCGGCUCAACCGAAGAAGUGCAUCGGAAACUGGGAAACUUGAGUGCAGAAGAGGACAGUGGAACUCCAUGUGUAGCGGUGAAAUGCGUAGAUAUAUGGAAGAACACCAGUGGCGAAGGCGGCUGUCUGGUCUGUAACUGACGCUGAGGCUCGAAAGUAUGGGUAGCAAACAGGAUUAGAUACCCUGGUAGUCCAUACCGUAAACGAUGAAUGCUAAGUGUUGGAGGGUUUCCGCCCUUCAGUGCUGCAGCUAACGCAUUAAGCAUUCCGCCUGGGGAGUACGGCCGCAAGGCUGAAACUCAAAGGAAUUGACGGGGGCCCGCACAAGCGGUGGAGCAUGUGGUUUAAUUCGAAGCUACGCGAAGAACCUUACCAGGUCUUGACAUACUAUGCAAAUCUAAGAGAUUAGACGUUCCCUUCGGGGACAUGGAUACAGGUGGUGCAUGGUUGUCGUCAGCUCGUGUCGUGAGAUGUUGGGUUAAGUCCCGCAACGAGCGCAACCCUUAUUAUCAGUUGCCAGCAUUAAGUUGGGCACUCUGGUGAGACUGCCGGUGACAAACCGGAGGAAGGUGGGGAUGACGUCAAAUCAUCAUGCCCCUUAUGACCUGGGCUACACACGUGCUACAAUGGAUGGUACAACGAGUUGCGAACUCGCGAGAGUAAGCUAAUCUCUUAAAGCCAUUCUCAGUUCGGAUUGUAGGCUGCAACUCGCCUACAUGAAGUCGGAAUCGCUAGUAAUCGCGGAUCAGCAUGCCGCGGUGAAUACGUUCCCGGGCCUUGUACACACCGCCCGUCACACCAUGAGAGUUUGUAACACCCAAAGUCGGUGGGGUAACCUUUUAAGGAACCAGCCGCCUA